ACUUAUAUCUUGGUAUUUGUGCAUACCAAAUGAAACUAGGAGAAAUAAAAGCAUUACUGAAAGUAAAUCACUUUCCUAUCUCUCCACAGGAGGGUACUGUCUCAAAAGGCAAAAUCCUUCAAGGCAGAGUGUGAGGCUGGAAGAAGGGGAGGGUAGAGAGUGAAUGAUUCAAUUGGCUGCCACACAGAGACCUCUGCCUUUUUACCCAGAUCCAAGUGGGUGGGAAGUGUUACUCUAGUUCAAAAAAGCCUCUUUCAGGAGGGUAUCUUUCAAGGGCAGCUAAAGUCAGUGACCAGGGCCAUCCUGUGACAGGAAGAAAAGAUGCCCCUGAAAUUCUCAGUGCUGAUCCUUUGGAUUCAACUGGCAUGGCAGAGCACCCAGCAACUGGAGCAGAGUCCUCGCUUUCUAAGCAUCCAGGAGGGAGAAAACUUUACUGCGUAUUGCAACUCCACAAGCACGUUUACCAGCUUUCAGUGGUACAGACAGAAGCCUGGGGAAGGUCCAGUCCAUUUGAUGACAUUAUCUAGGAGAGGAGAAAUAAAGAAGCAGAAGAGUCUAGUAGCUCAGUUUGGUGAGGCAAGAAAAGACAGCUCCCUGUUCAUCAUUGCCGCCCAGGCUGAAGAUGCUGCCAUCUACACCUGUGCAGGGGCACAGUGCUCCCAUGGCACCUGGAUGCCUGUACCCAAGCCCUACUGCAGGCUCUGUCACGCUGCUGCUGAGUCCCCCACCCCCCUACCCGGCCCUUCCUCUACAUUUCCUGACAUGAACAGUGGUAACAAUCUCAGGCUCUCAUGGAACCAUCUCCACUACCUUUCCAGAUAUUUCCCACAUACACUAAAGAACAAGAUUCCUCUGUCGUGGGAUCACCUUCUAGAAAUGCAUCUCACUAUCUGAACCAGUAAAAAUAUGGGUCUACAGCUCCCUGGGGUGGGCAGUGGGGAGAAAAGAAGGGAGUUGAUAGAGAAGAAAAAUGAAGAUAAUGGUCAGAGUGCAUCGUAGUUCCAAUGAGUCAUUCUGUUUUCCUAAAGACCACAGCCAGGAAUGGUUAGUCCAAGGGGGCAGAAAUGAAUGAUUUUGCAGCUUUAUUCUAGUAGAGUUGAUGAAACUGGAGUGAAAGUCAGAAGUAUAGUGAAAAAAAAUAAUUAGAAGAAAGUUGGUACUUUUUUAGCAGAAAAAAAAAUGCCUACUGUGUACUCCAGUAACAUCCCAAAUGUGAUUCCAAAGCAACCUCUCCAUUUGGUGGUUCUGAACUACUUACACAUUAGCUACAAUUGCCUGUAUUUACACAGGAUUUGCUUGGUGAUUAUUAGACUUUGCGUGGUAGAUAUCAAUAACUUCAAGUUUUCAAGGCUGAAGAAGAUAGGAUUUUUUUGGUUUCCAAAGUAAAUUUUAUUUGAGUGUAGUUCACACAAUGUUACAUUACUUUCAGGUGCACAACAUAGUGUUUCUACAAGUUUAGACAUUAUGCUGUGCUCAUGGCAAGUAUAACCACCAUCUGUUACUAUGCAAUGCCAUUAAAAUAUCAUUGACCAUA